CUUAGAAAGAACUUGGAUUUUGGAAGCCAAAAACUAUGCAUUAUUACCAAGCUCAUAGAAGGCACCCUGUAAAUUGCAUUUUGCAAGCUCACAUAAAUCAUGCUAGUUUACUGUUGGAAUAUGUUACUCCAAAUUGGGCCUGUGUAACAAACAGAGUUGUUUAGAAACCUUUCUUCUUCUUCUUCUUUGUAUGUGUGGCUGCACACCUGUAUGUGUGUAUUAAUAACAGAAUCGAUUCUUGACCAUGGGUUGUUAUUGGCUCCUUUUGAGUCUUAUUUUAAGGAGUUUCAUGAAUUAA